rnacentral:lncRNA from 1 species
AUUUCGCCGCCGUGGCUUGAACUCUGAUUGGUCGCCCACCAUAAUUGUGAAACAUCAGCUUCCCCUAUCUCAUAUUGAAAUAAGAUCCCUUUAAUGAAGCUCCACUUCAUAUAAACUUCAAGAUCACGUCGAUUGCGACAUUAUGUUGGCUUCUUCUUGAAUCAAUUUGAAAAGUUGUGAGAUGCUAGAAAGAAAAGCUACUAAUGAGGUAGGUUUCCUUUCUUCAUCCAAACUUCUAUUAACUCCAAGUAAUAUAUUAUUAGAAACAAAUAUAUUCUAAGCAUCUUACCCGUAGACUAGUAGUCAAAAGAAAACUCAAUCUUAUCAUGUUGUUAUGUUAUUCUUCUAAGCAUUAUAUGUGAAUUAUAAAUCAUUUCCUCUAGUCUAUUAUUUAAUGGGUUAAAUUCCAUAAUCUCCAUUCAAAUUUUAGACCUUUGAGUUGAAAAAUUACUCAAUUUUGCAUAUUUGAUUUAUGGAACUGCACAAAUCUUUUAGAGAUCCUGUGAGUACCAUCAUACCAGAUAGGGGAGUCAUAGGUCUAUACACUUUGUUACUUAUACUUACUGUUGGUUCUACUGAAUACUAUGUAUUCAUAUGCAUUGCCUAUCACCAGUAUACUGGUUUGCUGAUUUCACCCUCCGAUUUUAUGGGGGCAAUUUGGUUAUGUUUGUUGUUUGUACCUACCGAGCUUAUGUGGGUUGGGUUAGAUUAUUGUUUGAUUAUAUUCUCUUCUAUGUUGUUGAUCUGAUAACUAAUAGGUUGUGACUUUCGAUUUGUGGUUGUUAGUCCUCUUGACCAUGGGUAGUUGGCUCUUGUAUAUUAGUUUCUUGUGAGUAGGUUGUUAGUUUGUGUUUCGGCUACGUUCUUGAAUUAGUUCCUUAUUUCUUGUACCCUACUUCUGUUCGUUAUUUCUUGUCUAUCAUAUUAUCUCAUGUUUAGUUAUUUGUGCUAUGCUUUCCUUAUUACUUGUUGUUUAUACUUGCUUUAUCUUUGGAGCUCAAUCUGCUGAUGCCUAGUGAGUAUCGUUUUUGGUACUCAUACUACACUUCUGCUCCCCGCACAACAUAGUUUGAAUUUUUGCCGUUGAUUUGGAGUCAUGUAGAGCAUCUUGGAGUUUGGAGACUAAGGUGAGCUCCUGGCGUUUGGAGUUACCAAUUUCCUUAUGUUUUGGUUAAACUUAGUCUUUAUACUUUUUCAGAGAUAGCCCAGACUAAUUUUGUAUUUGUAAGAAGUUUGUAAUCUUAUUUUGAUUAGAUGCUCGAUUAAUGAUUGAUGUCAAGUCUUGGGGAUGGUUUCUGGUAUUGCAUUACGUUGAUUACCCUUUCUUCGCUUUAUUUCAAGCUUCAUGUGUAUUAUUGUUCACUUCUGCUUGAUAGCCCAUCGCUUAUGGCUCUGGGUGAUGGGUUAGGCUUACCUAGUGGUGGGGUGUAUUAGGUGCCAUCAUGAUCUAAAAAAUUGGGCAGUAACAAGGUGGUAUCAAAGCCAGGUUGGCCGACAUCGUUGGUAUGAGGAAAAUGCC